AUUGAACGCUGGCGGCAGGCCUAACACAUACAAGUCGAGCGGAUGAAGGGAGCUUGCUCCUGGAUUCAGCGGCGGACGGGUGAGUAAUGCCUAGGAAUCUGCCUGGUAGAGGGGGAUAACGUCCGGAAACGGGCGCUAAUACCGCAUACGUCCUGAGGGUGAAAGUGGGGGAUCUUCGGACCUCACGCUAUCAGAUGAGCCUAGGUCGGAUUAGCUAGUUGGUGGGGUAAAGGUCUACCAAGGCGACGAUCCGUAACUGGUCUGAGAGGAUGAUCAGUCACACUGGAACUGAGACACGGUCCAGACUCCUACGGGAGGCAGCAGUGGGGAAUAUUGGACAAUGGGCGAAAGCCUGAUCCAGCCAUGCCGCGUGAGUGAAGAAGGUCUUCGGAUUGUAAAGCACUUUAAGUUGGGAGGAAGGACAGUAAGUUAAUACCUUGCUGUUUUGACGUUACCAACAGAAUAAGCACCGGCUAACUUCGUG
rnacentral:rRNA from 1 species